GCUCGUCCCUAUCCUCAAGACCUCAACCAAAUCCGAAUCUGACCACCCGAAGCCACCACUGUCCUCCGCAUCGUAACCCCGACCUCCGCCGCGGCCACCGAUGUCCACCACAUCGCGACCCCCGCCCUCCGCCGUGAACGCCGAUGCCCUCCACACGAACCUGCCCGCCCCCUCUCGAGAGAUCUGGGGCAGGUGAAGUCUGCAUCGGCCCCAACAUCCCUCCCGCGUCGGCCGCAAGCAGGAUCCGGCGGCAGCGCCCAGUCGCGUCGGCUGCAAGACGCAGAAGCAAAAGAUCCUAUUUGAGGAGGGUGGGGCGGCGGAGGAGGGCGGCGCGGCUUUGGUGGUGGAUGGAGGAGGAAGAUGGACGAAGGAGGAAGAAGGAGCUUCGAUGCCACUGAUACGUGGGGCCCGCUGGAGCAAGAAGAUGGAGAAGCCAACGGCGUGAGCAUGGUCCUCCGUCCCUCUUUUCAAUCUCUUCAACCAAAUAAAGAAUUGGGUUUGACCCAAUCUUUUGAUAUUUUUUCAUCCAAACAAAAAAGGGGUUGGAGCAAUUUCUAAAACAAGGGAUGGACCCAACCCAUCCCACCGAGUCCUCCAACCAAACACACGGUUAAUGGCUUGGUUGAUUGAAGGAAAACAUGACGCCAGUACGCGAGACACUAGCACAGUUGCCUUGAUUGGCAUGAUUCAAGAACUUGGGUGGCAUGUACAAAUGUUUAGAGUUUAGACGACAGAGUUUUGCAUUGAUACAUCUGGAUUUGCUACAACACCGUGCUUAAAGGAACCUCGAAUGAAUCUAGAAGGUUG